GAGUUUGAUUCAUGGCUCAGGAUGAACGCUAGCUACAGGCUUAACACAUGCAAGUCGAGGGGAAACGACAUCGAAAGCUUGCCCCUUUUGAUGGGCGUCGACCGGCGUACGGGUGAGUAACGCGUAUCCAACCUGCCCACCACUUGGGGAUAACCUUGCGAAAGUAAGACUAAUACCCAAUGAUAUCUCUAGAAGACAUCUGAAAGAGAUUAAAGAUUUAUCGGUGAUGGAUGGGGAUGCGUCUGAUUAGCUUGUUGGCGGGGUAACGGCCCACCAAGGCAACGAUCAGUAGGGGUUCUGAGAGGAAGGUCCCCCACAUUGGAACUGAGACACGGUCCAAACUCCUACGGGAGGCAGCA
rnacentral:rRNA from 1 species